rnacentral:rRNA from 1 species
UACAAAGGUUUCUACAGACCAGAUAAAGAUUGGCUCUCAAGUGUAAAAGCAAAAGGGAGCUUGACUAUACGUUCCACUCGUCAAGCAAGGAUGAAAGUUGAUCUUAGU